UUUUUUAUUUUUUAAUGUUAUCUCUCAAAACCUAAUCACGCGUAUAAAAAGCCUUCCUUUCUUUUUCUCUCCUCCUCUCUCUAGGCACCCAUAUUCUCUCAGACCCUCGUGCAAAACCAACUCUAGCCUUCUUUCUCUUGCGCAACAAUCAAUCCUUCCUUCUUUCGUGCCUCAAGAUCCAUCCUUCUUUCUUUCGUGCUUCAAAAUUUGUCUCUAUCAGAUCUCAAGAUGGGCCAUUGAGAGGAGGCAUACAGUUUAUGGUUGGUGUCUUGUCUAUGAAAAAUCCUAUUCUCCUACCUCACUGCAAAUUGAACAAUCCAAGAUAGAGCAAGAUUCCUUGAAAGCACUAAUUGGCAAGCAACAACGACCAAUUUAUCAAUUGACAUCGCCUAGAGUCGGCCACAACGAUGCAACUUAGGCUCUAAUACCAAAUUGAUAAGACAACCCUAAUCCUCAACCCAACAAUCAAGCUUUUGUUGAAGCAAGGAAGCACUAAUUGGCAAGCAGCAACGAACAAUUUAUCAAUUGACAUUGCUAAAAGGGUGGAACAUAGAAGACAUUGUUGUCGGUUUGAAUACCUUUAGGAUUGGUGGACUUGAUUUUAUCAAAAUCAAAGAUGUCACAUAUUGUGGAUAGUGAGUUUUUGUCUAUUUAUUGUGUAUUGGGUGGGGAAGAACUGAUUUGAAAAUUGUGAUAGUGUAACGAGUCUAAUAUUCUUAUAUAGAUCGAGUUGAAUACUUUAUUUUAUAAUGUGUUAGUAGAUUAUUAAAUUUCAAUUAUAUUUUUGUUAUA